GUGCCAGCCGCCGCGGUAAUACCGGCAGCCCGAGUGAUGGCCGAUCUUAUUGGGCCUAAAGCGUCCGUAGCUGGCUGCGCAAGUCCGUCGGGAAAUCCGCCCGCUCAACGGGCGGCCGUCCGGCGGAACCUGUGUGGCUUGGGACCGGAAGGCUCGAAGGGUACGUUCGGGGUAGGAGUGAAAUCCCGUAAUCCCGGACGGACUACCGAUGGCGAAAGCACUCUGAGAAGACGGCUUCGACAGUGAGGGACGAAAGCUCGGGUCUCAAACCGGAUUAGAUACCCCGGUAGUCC
rnacentral:rRNA from 1 species